UAAGUCUGAAGCUUUCUAUGAUUUAGAUUCCUGGUUGCGAGAGGGAGCCUAUAGGAAUGGCGAGAAGGGAGAAAUUUGCAGAGGCAGCAAGAAAACUCCUUGACCCUGACUAUGAAGGGAUUAGGUUUUGCAAGCAUCAAGAAGUCUAGUGAUGGAAAUAUUAUAGUUUAAUGAAAAAAGUGUGGAAUGGAAUGAAGACAGGAAGAGGAGAACAGAGGGUGGUGUCCUUGUCCUGUGACAAUGCUGAUUUUGGAACGGCAAAUGAAAUCUGCCUCUUUGGAAUUCUAUCAUCCCCUCUUACUGCUCUG
rnacentral:lncRNA from 1 species